GCCAUUUCCAUUGACAAACACUGGCAGUGUAGAAUGGAUCGUACUGAAGAGCUCAGCGACUUUCAGCAUGGCAUUGUCAUGGGAUGACACCUUUCCAACAAGUCAGUUUCUGCCCUGCCAGAGCUGCCCCAGUCAACUGAUGAACCUGGAGAGCAGUGCUGCUGCCUGUCAGUGAUGACAGGGCGAAACUGAUGACUCCGGCAUCGGCCAACGACGUCCAGAGGGCCAGCCAGCCACCGCGACCAGCUAUCGUUUCCCGCCCAUGUGCAUCCUGUCGUUUGCGGGACACUUUUUCCUUUUUCCCCCUCGGAUUGAAGCCCUGAAUGGGGACAGAGCUCAGCGGGACUCUGCCUUUCUUCCACUGACUGAGAAUGACCUGCCAACAGACACACACACGCACGCACACACACACACCCCC